AAAGUACAAAGGUUGAAGUACAAGAUUAAGUAUUCUACAAGUAACUGGAGUAAAAGUAUUGCCAUGAGAAAAUUGUCAAACUUAAAGAUUAACCAUGAAAAUCUAAAGCAUCAAGUGCAAGCAAGUGGGUGGCAAGCAUGGCUUUGAUUUCACACGUAGGCGCUAUGUUUACAUAUGUACAUGUUGUCCAUAUUUUGCUUUGCUUCAUAUAUUAGGAGUUCAUCCCUAGCUAGCCUAUAACUUUGAUUGAAAACUUAUGAAUCUGAAACAUUUUGAUUUAAGGACA